GCCCGGAUGGCGGAAUUGGUAGACGCGCAUGUUUGAGGAAUAUGGGGUGCAAGUUCAACUCUUGUUUCGGGCA
rnacentral:tRNA from 1 species